GACAGAGGGGGCAAGCGUUGCUCGGAAUCACUGGGCGUAAAGGGCGCGUAGGCGGGAUGGCAAGUCGGUCGUGAAAUCCUUCGGCUCAACCGAAGAACGUCGGCCGAUACUGCCGUUCUUGAGGGAUGCAGAGGAGAUUGGAAUUCCCGGUGUAGCGGUGAUAUGCGUAGAUAUCGGGAGGAACACCAGUGGCGAAGGCGGCUGUCUGGGGUAUUGCUGACGCUGAGGCACGAAAGCCAGGGGAGCGAACGGG
rnacentral:rRNA from 1 species